GACAGGACCUUUGGUCAAGCGAUACAGUCAGCUGAAGUGGUGACCCUACCAGGAAAGAUACAGGUGAAUUAAUAUCCUGUUUCUCCUUCUCCCUCUACCUAUCCCCUGCCCCACCGCUUCAUCUUCUGCCAGUGCCUCCUAUUGGCCAAACCCACUUGGAAGCCAGAGGACAAGGAUGUCCAUUGAUACGGUCUGUAGAGGUCAGCCUCUUGGGGCGUAGAGCAGAAUGGAGAAGGGGAAGAAUGGAGCAAGCAGUGGGGAGAGAUGCAGGGGAGAGAGCCAAGAGCUCUGGGAAGGGGUGUGCCUGAGAAAUGAGCGUUUGCUGCAGGUUUCACUUUAUCAUAGAAUCCCUGGUGGCUCAGAUGGUAAAGAAUCCGCCUUCAGUGAUGAGACUCGGGAGAUGUGGGUUUGAUCCCUGGGUCAGGAAGAUCCCCUGGAGCAGAAAAUGGCAACCCACUCUAGUAUCCUUGCCUGGAGAAUCCCAUGGACAAAGGAGCCUGGCGGGCUACAGUCCAUAGGGUCUCGAGGAUUCGGGUAUGACUGAGCAAUUAACACUUUGGUUUGUCACAGAAGAGACCUCAGCCUAUGGCCAAGGAAAGAGGUAAUGAAAAGCCAAGGUGAGGGGGAAUGCUCCCCUUCUCUGAAGCAAGAGGAAAAGUGUGUGUGGGGCGGGGGACAAGUGCCACACCUGCAGGAAAGAAGGAAGACAAGUUUCAGGAGCUGGGGCAGCAAGGAAGUAAUAAAGGGUGUCAGAGUGUCUUGGGCUUCCCAGGUGAUGCUAGUGGUAAAGAACCUGCUUGUCAGUGUAGGAGACGUAAGAGAGACAGGUUUGAUCCCUGGGUAGGGAAGAUCCCCCGGAGGAGAGCAUGGCAACCCAUUCCAGUAUUCUUUGCCUGGAGAAUCCCAUGGACAGAGGAGCCUGGCGGGCUACAAUUCCUAGGGUCGCACAAAGUCUUGCAUGACUGAAGCAACUUAAAAAACACACCCACGCAUGCACACAGAGUGUCUUAGUUCAGAGGUGAGCUGGAAGAGAUGAGGUCCUGGGUGAGGCCCUGGGCAAGGAAGGUUGGAGUGGUCUGACCACAUAGCCCAUGAGGCCAAGACAUCCAUUGGGAUGUCCUGUCCAGUGGAGGGUCUUAAGGCAGGGAAACCACUGCCUGCCCAUCCCCCACCAAGGGUGGGAGUAUCGCUUCCCUUCUUCCCCUGCCCAGAGCUGUUGAGCCAGUAGGUGCUUGAUGGAAGUGAGUUCCUUUCUUUUCACCCCCUUUUCUUCCACUUUAAGCCCUCACACCCAUUCCUCCUUCAGGAGGCCCCAUCAGCCCCCAUCCUUCCCUCUGACUGAGCCCUGGUCUAACUGAGGCCAGACAUGUCCAUGUCCAGAUAGGGACUGGCUUCGAGCAGGUUCACGUCCCAGCACCUCGGUCCUGCUGUUCCUCUAACAUGUGCUGGGUAUAUUCAUUCUUCAGUUGACCGUUAUUUCACCAGCUGUGUGCCAGGCUCUAUAUACUAGACAUCGGGGAUUCAGCAGUGAGCAAGACAGAGGCCCACAGAGCUCAGAAUGCUGUGGGAGCCAGGUAGGAUCACAUGGAAGGGUCAGAGUGGAACUGAGAGAGGCCAUGGGAGGCAGCAGAGUCCAUGGGAAACUGCAGGGAAGGAUCCCUGGGAGAAGAAAUGGCAAUGUUGGGACUUCCCUCGUGAUCCAGUGCUUAAAGACUCCAUGCUCCCAAUGCAGGGGGCCUGGAUUCAAUCCCUGGUCAGGAAACUAGAUCCUUCAUGACACAACUGAAGAUCCCACAUGCAGAAAUGAAGAUGCCACCUGACGCAACCAAGACCCAGCACAGCCAAAUAAAAAAAUUAAAAAAAAAAAGAAAUGGCAGUGUUAUCAUUUCCAACCUUGAUCAGGUCAGCUUCCCUCGGCCUAACCCCUCCAGUGGUGUCCACUGUGGUUUUCAUUUAAACCCAGAUCUUCAGCCCCUUGGAACUCAGCCCCCAUCAGUUUCCCUGAGCGCCUACCCUUGCUCACUCUGCACCCAGCACCCUGGCCUCCUUGCUGUUCCUCUUAUCCACCCACCCCUUUCUCCUCUGGGCCUUUGCACUUUCUUUUCCUUCCACCUGGAACAUGCUACCAGACUGUUUGCCUCUCUGGCUUACAGCUUACAGUCUGAAAGGCUCCUCAUUUCAGAUCACAGUUCUUUUAGCUCAAACCAGUCCAUCCUAAAGGAAAUCCACCCUGAAUAUUCAUUGGAAGGACUAAUGCUGAAG
ensembl:lncRNA